rnacentral:lncRNA from 1 species
GCACAUAUAGUUAAUUUUUUGAAUAGAAGUCCAUGUAUCAGUGGUAAGACUUACUCUUUGACUUGUUCCUUUAAGAAACUUCAUUAAUUUAUUUUUUUUUCACAUUUAAAGGAGCAAAACAAUCCCGUGUAAUAGUAGUACGGGAAGGAAUAUGAAAACAAGGUUGUGCCACUUUCAUAAAUUUCCUAAAGCCUUCCUUCUCAACAAAACUAAACGGAAUUUCAUCAACAAUCACCAUACGACACAAAGCCAUCCUACACUCUUCUUGAUAAAAUUUCCAUGGAAUAAGAUCACCUUUAUUACCC